GUUUUCUCCUUUUUUUUUUUUUCAACGUUUGGUUCCUGUAUUUAUGGAAUUCAACCUGUUAAUAAACAUGUUUAAACUGAGAAUUCUGUCUUCAUGAAGUCACUCUUACUGAAUGAUUAUAUGUCGGAGUUCGCAUGCACGAGUAAGAGGCAUUCUUGAAUUGUCAGAACUCAGAAGUUAAAAACAGAUGUUGCAAACUUAUAAGCUCGAGUAAGAGGAAGUCUCUCUCAAUCCUUGUAGAUAUUGAAAAUUUUAUUUUACUUAGUAAGUAUUUGAAUAAAAAAUGUAUUUUGAGCAAAGUGUAAUCAUAAGUUGUUUACCUUCUGCAAAUUGCUAAUGUAUUCAUAAUCAAUAUCAAUAUGCUUCUUGUCG
rnacentral:misc_RNA from 1 species